rnacentral:rRNA from 1 species
CAGGCUUAACACAUGCAAGUCGAGGGGCAUCAGGAAGAAAGCUUGCUUUCUUUGCUGGCGACCGGCGCACGGGUGAGUAACACGUAUCCAACCUGCCCUUUACUCGGGGAUAGCCUUUCGAAAGAAAGAUUAAUACCCGAUAGCAUAAUGAUUCCGCAUGGUUUCAUUAUUAAAGGAUUCCGGUAAAGGAUGGGGAUGCGUUCCAUUAGGUUGUUGGUGAGGUAACGGCUCACCAAGCCUUCGAUGGAUAGGGGUUCUGAGAGGAAGGUCCCCCACAUUGGAACUGAGACACGGUCCAAACUCCUACGGGAGGCAGCAGUGAGGAAUAUUGGUCAAUGGGCGCUAGCCUGAACCAGCCAAGUAGCGUGAAGGAUGAAGGCUCUAUGGGUCGUAAACUUCUUUUAUAUAAGAAUAAAGUGCAGUAUGUAUACUGUUUUGUAUGUAUUAUAUGAAUAAGGAUCGGCUAACUCCGUGCCAGCAGCCGCGGUAAUACGGAGGAUCCGAGCGUUAUCCGGAUUUAUUGGGUUUAAAGGGAGCGUAGGUGGACUGGUAAGUCAGUUGUGAAAGUUUGCGGCUCAACCGUAAAAUUGCAGUUGAUACUGUCAGUCUUGAGUACAGUAGAGGUGGGCGGAAUUCGUGGUGUAGCGGUGAAAUGCUUAGAUAUCACGAAGAACUCCGAUUGCGAAGGCAGCUCACUGGACUGCAACUGACACUGAUGCUCGAAAGUGUGGGUAUCAAACAGGAUUAGAUACCCUGGUAGUCCACACAGUAAACGAUGAAUACUCGCUGUUUGCGAUAUACAGUAAGCGGCCAAGCGAAAGCAUUAAGUAUUCCACCUGGGGAGUACGCCGGCAACGGUGAAACUCAAAGGAAUUGACGGGGGCCCGCACAAGCGGAGGAACAUGUGGUUUAAUUCGAUGAUACGCGAGGAACCUUACCCGGGCUUAAAUUGCAGUGGAAUGAUGUGGAAACAUGUCAGUGAGCAAUCACCGCUGUGAAGGUGCUGCAUGGUUGUCGUCAGCUCGUGCCGUGAGGUGUCGGCUUAAGUGCCAUAACGAGCGCAACCCUUAUCUUUAGUUACUAACAGGUUAUGCUGAGGACUCUGGAGAGACUGCCGUCGUAAGAUGUGAGGAAGGUGGGGAUGACGUCAAAUCAGCACGGCCCUUACGUCCGGGGCUACACACGUGUUACAAUGGGGGGUACAGAAGGCAGCUAGCGGGUGACCGUAUGCUAAUCCCAAAAUCCUCUCUCAGUUCGGAUCGAAGUCUGCAACCCGACUUCGUGAAGCUGGAUUCGCUAGUAAUCGCGCAUCAGCCACGGCGCGGUGAAUACGUUCCCGGGCCUUGUACACACCGCCCGUCAAGCCAUGGGAGCCGGGGGUACCUGAAGUACGUAACCGCAAGGAUCGUCCUAGGGUAAAACUGGUGACUGGGG